UACGGAAGGUGCAAGCGUUGAUCGGAAUUAUUGGGCGUAAAGAGUACGUAGGCGGAUUUGUAUGUCGAUUGUGAAAUCCCAGGGCUUAACCUUGGAAUUGCAGUCGAAACUGCGGAUCUUGAAUACCUGAGAGGGUGGGAGAAUUCCUGGUGGAGAAGUGAAAUUCGUAGAGAUCAGGAGGAAUACCGGAGGCGAAGGCGCCUGCCUGGCAGUGUAUUGACGCUGAGGUACGAAAGCGUGGGGAGCAAACAGG
rnacentral:rRNA from 1 species